ensembl:lncRNA
CCCAAAUAUCAAGCGUGGUCCGGUGCACGCUUCGUGGUCCCAUAUAUCCCACAAUCCAUAGCGCGGCGGUGGGUGUGGAUAAUUUUGCCGCAAAAUACGGCAGAAGGGAGCGGCCGAAGAGUGAACUGUCAAAACUUAUCACACAUUUGAUUUCCAUGUGUGACAACUGCAAGUGUCCAGAGUGAGGACAGACUGAGGGACCCACUGCUGCACAUCAUCUGGCCCUGAUGAUCCACCAGGACAAACUCAGCAGUGUGUGAGGAAGAGGAGGAGGAAGAGCCAGCAGCAGCUGACAGAUGGAGAGAAUAUACAGACUGUUCCCUGUUUGUGAAGGACUGCUAGGAAAGUUUAACAUAACUAAUUGUCUGUCCUGAAUCAGUCUUAUUAGGUAAUGUUCAAAUAAUGUUAUCAUCCCAGUGUUUUCAGUGUGGGAGAAAGUACUCAGGGCCUUCAAGUUAAACACUAUGAAAGGCAGCAACAAGUUUAAUAUUCAGAAACCUAAAGUAUGUAUCAGCAGCAGAAUGGAGCUAAAAAUAAAUGUUUGUUUCAGUUCUAUGAAGCUUUGAGUAUUUUGGAUUAGUAGCACUGCUGUGUUUGUUGCAUCAUAUUGCUGUAAUUGUUUAUAUGCUUUAUAUAUUCUGAGCUAAGUUGAUCUAUAGUGUUACAUCAUAUUCUAUAAGGAUGUUAUGUGUUUGUAUAGUUUCUGCCCAGUUUGACCCAUUUAGCAGAAGUCAGCCUGUUUAAGGCUCUGAUAUCUAUUCUGUAAGACUUAAAGCAGUUAUGACAUGGUCUGAUUUUCU